AGAGCCCAAACCAAGAAGCUUGCUUCUUGGGGUUGUAGGACACUCUAUACGGAGUUACAAAAGAAAGUUAUAAAUGAAGCGGUCUGGAAAGGCCCGCCAAAGACGGUAACAGCCCGGUAGUUGAAAUAGCUUUCCCUCCAGAGUGGAUCCUGAGUACGGCGGAACACGUGAAAUUCCGUCGGAAUCCGGGAGGACCAUCUCCCAAGGCUAAAUACUCCCUAGUGACCGAUAG
rnacentral:rRNA from 1 species